CCUACGGGUGGCUGCAGUGGGGAAUAUUGCACAAUGGGCGCAAGCCUGAUGCAGCCAUGCCGCGUGUGUGAAGAAGGCCUUCGGGUUGUAAAGCACUUUCAGCGGGGAGGAAGGCGGUGAGGUUAAUAACCUCAUCGAUUGACGUUACCCGCAGAAGAAGCACCGGCUAACUCCGUGCCAGCAGCCGCGGUAAUACGGAGGGUGCAAGCGUUAAUCGGAAUUACUGGGCGUAAAGCGCACGCAGGCGGUCUGUCAAGUCGGAUGUGGAAUCCCCGGGCUCAACCUGGGAACUGCAUUCGAAACUGGCAGGCUAGAGUCUUGUAGAGGGGGGUAGAAUUCCAGGUGUAGCGGUGAAAUGCGUAGAGAUCAGGAGGAAUACCGGUGGCGAAGGCGGCCCCCUGGACAAAGACUGACGCUCAGGUGCGAAAGCGUGGGGAGCAAACAGGAUUAGAUACCCGUGUAGUC
rnacentral:rRNA from 1 species